GACGAACGCUGGCGGCGUGCCUAAUACAUGCAAGUCGAACGCACUCUCGUUUAGAUUGAAGGAGCUUGCUCCUGAUUGAUAAACAUUUGAGUGAGUGGCGGACGGGUGAGUAACACGUGGGUAACCUGCCCUAAAGUGGGGGAUAACAUUUGGAAACAGAUGCUAAUACCGCAUAAAACCUAACACCGCAUGGUGUAGGGUUGAAAGAUGGUUUCGGCUAUCACUUUAGGAUGGACCCGCGGUGCAUUAGUUAGUUGGUGAGGUAAAGGCUCACCAAGACCGUGAUGCAUAGCCGACCUGAGAGGGUAAUCGGCCACACUGGGACUGAGACACGGCCCAGACUCCUACGGGAGGCAGCAGUAGGGAAUCUUCCACAAUGGACGAAAGUCUGAUGGAGCAACGCCGCGUGAGUGAAGAAGGUUUUCGGAUCGUAAAACUCUGUUGUUGGAGAAGAAUGUAUCUGAUAGUAACUGAUCAGGU
rnacentral:rRNA from 1 species